UGGGUAACCUGCCUCAAAGAGGGGAAUAGCCUCCCGAAAGGGAGAUUAAUACCGCAUAAUAUGUUUAAGUCGCAUGAUUUUAACAUCAAAGGAUUUUCUUAGGAAAUUCCACUUUGAGAUGGACCCGCGGCGCAUUAGCUAGUUGGUGAGGUAACGGCUCACCAAGGCAACGAUGCGUAGCCGACCUGAGAGGGUGAUCGGCCACAUUGGAACUGAGACACGGUCCAGACUCCGUAGGGAGG
rnacentral:rRNA from 1 species